AUUGAACGCUGGCGGCAGGCUUAACACAUGCAAGUCGAACGGUAACAGGAAGAAGCUUGCUUCUUUGCUGACGAGUGGCGGACGGGGUGAGUAAUGUCUGGGAAACUGCCUGAUGGAGGGGGAUAACUACUGGAAACGGUAGCUAAUACCGCAUAACGUCGCAAGACCAAAGAGGGGGACCUUCGGGCCUCUUGCCAUCGGAUGUGCCCAGAUGGGAUUAGCUAGUAGGUGGGGUAACGGCUCACCUAGGCGACGAUCCCUAGCUGGUCUGAGAGGAUGACCAGCCACACUGGAACUGAGACACGGUCCAGACUCCUACGGGAGGCAGCAGUGGGGAAUAUUGCACAAUGGGCGCAAGCCUGAUGCAGCCAUGCCGCGUGUAUGAAGAAGGCCUUCGGGUUGUAAAGUACUUUCAGCGGGGAGGAAGGGAGUAAAGUUAAUACCUUUGCUCAUUGACGUUACCCGCAGAAGAAGCACCGGCUAACUCCGUGCCAGCAGCCGCGGUAAUACGGAGGGUGCAAGCGUUAAUCGGAAUUACUGGGCGUAAAGCGCACGCAGGCGGUUUGUUAAGUCAGGUGUGAAAUCCCCGGGCUCAACCUGGGAACUGCAUCUGAUACUGGCAAGCUUGAGUCUCGUAGAGGGGGGUAGAAUUCCAGGUGUAGCGGUGAAAUGCGUAGAGAUCUGGAGGAAUACCGGUGGCGAAGGCGGCCCCCUGGACGAAGACUGACGCUCAGGUGCGAAAGCGUGGGGAGCAAACAGG
rnacentral:rRNA from 1 species